rnacentral:rRNA from 3 species
AGAGUUUGAUCAUGGCUCAGAUUGAACGCUGGCGGCAGGCCUAACACAUGCAAGUCGAACGGUAACAGGAAGAAGCUUGCUUCUUUGCUGACGAGUGGCGGACGGGUGAGUAAUGUCUGGGAAACUGCCUGAUGGAGGGGGAUAACUACUGGAAACGGUAGCUAAUACCGCAUAACGUCGCAAGACCAAAGAGGGGGACCUUCGGGCCUCUUGCCAUCGGAUGUGCCCAGAUGGGAUUAGCUUGUUGGUGGGGUAACGGCUCACCAAGGCGACGAUCCCUAGCUGGUCUGAGAGGAUGACCAGCCACACUGGAACUGAGACACGGUCCAGACUCCUACGGGAGGCAGCAGUGGGGAAUAUUGCACAAUGGGCGCAAGCCUGAUGCAGCCAUGCCGCGUGUAUGAAGAAGGCCUUCGGGUUGUAAAGUACUUUCAGCGGGGAGGAAGGGAGUAAAGUUAAUACCUUUACUCAUUGACGUUACCCGCAGAAGAAGCACCGGCUAACUCCGUGCCAGCAGCCGCGGUAAUACGGAGGGUGCAAGCGUUAAUCGGAAUUACUGGGCGUAAAGCGCACGCAGGCGGUUUGUUAAGUCAGAUGUGAAAUCCCCGGGCUCAACCUGGGAACUGCAUCUGAUACUGGCAAGCUUGAGUCUCGUAGAGGGGGGUAGAAUUCCAGGUGUAGCGGUGAAAUGCGUAGAGAUCUGGAGGAAUACCGGUGGCGAAGGCGGCCCCCUGGACGAAGACUGACGCUCAGGUGCGAAAGCGUGGGGAGCAAACAGGAUUAGAUACCCUGGUAGUCCACGCCGUAAACGAUGUCGACUUGGAGGUUGUGCCCUUGAGGCGUGGCUUCCGGAGCUAACGCGUUAAGUCGACCGCCUGGGGAGUACGGCCGCAAGGUUAAAACUCAAAUGAAUUGACGGGGGCCCGCACAAGCGGUGGAGCAUGUGGUUUAAUUCGAUGCAACGCGAAGAACCUUACCUGGUCUUGACAUCCACGGAAGUUUUCAGAGAUGAGAAUGUGCCUUCGGGAACCGUGAGACAGGUGCUGCAUGGCUGUCGUCAGCUCGUGUUGUGAAAUGUUGGGUUAAGUCCCGCAACGAGCGCAACCCUUAUCCUUUGUUGCCAGCGGUCCGGCCGGGAACUCAAAGGAGACUGCCAGUGAUAAACUGGAGGAAGGUGGGGAUGACGUCAAGUCAUCAUGGCCCUUACGACCAGGGCUACACACGUGCUACAAUGGCGCAUACAAAGAGAAGCGACCUCGCGAGAGCAAGCGGACCUCAUAAAGUGCGUCGUAGUCCGGAUUGGAGUCUGCAACUCGACUCCAUGAAGUCGGAAUCGCUAGUAAUCGUGGAUCAGAAUGCCACGGUGAAUACGUUCCCGGGCCUUGUACACACCGCCCGUCACACCAUGGGAGUGGGUUGCAAAAGAAGUAGGUAGCUUAACCUUCGGGAGGGCGCUUACCACUUUGUGAUUCAUGACUGGGGUGAAGUCGUAACAAGGUAACCGUAGGGGAACCUGCGGUUGGAUCACCU